UACAGAGGGUGCAAGCGUUGUUCGGCAUUAUUGGGCGUAAAGCGCGUGUAGGCUGCUUUGCAAGUCGGGUGUGAAAGCCCUCAGCUUAACUGAGGAAGUGCGCCCGAAACUGCAGAGCUUGAGUACCGGAGAGGAUGGCGGAAUUCCCCAAGUAGAGGUGAAAUUCGUAGAUAUGGGGAGGAACACCGGUGGCGAAGGCGGCCAUCUGGACGGAUACUGACGCUGAGACGCGAAAGCGUGGGUAGCAAACAGG
rnacentral:rRNA from 1 species